GAGCCAGACUCCUACGGGAGGCAGCAGUGAGGAAUAUUGGUCAAUGGGCGGGAGCCUGAACCAGCCAAGUCGCGUGAGGGAAGAAGGUACUGAGUAUUGUAAACCUCUUUUGUCGGGGAGCAAAGCGAGUCACGUGUGACUCAUUGAGAGUACCCGAAGAAAAAGCAUCGGCUAACUCCGUGCCAGCAGCCGCGGUAAUACGGAGGAUCCGAGCGUUAUCCGGAUUUAUUGGGUUUAAAGGGAGCGUAGAUGGGUUGUUAAGUCAGUUGUGAAAGUUUGCGGCUCAACCGUAAAAUUGCAAUUGAUACUGGCAGCCUUGAGUACAGUUGAGGUAGGCGGAAUUCGUGGUGUAGCGGUGAAAUGCUUAGAUAUCACGAAGAACUCCGAUUGCGAAGGCAGCCUACUAAACUGCCACUGACAUUGAUGCUCGAAAGUGUGGGUAUCAAACAGGAUUAGAUACCCGCGUAU
rnacentral:rRNA from 1 species